rnacentral:lncRNA from 1 species
AAUAUCAGUUUAAUUUCUCCAACAAUAAUUAUAUAAGUCCACAACUAUAGCCUGCCACUGCUUUUUCAAAAAGGAGAUUGUCAUCAACUUUUGUAUGUCUAUUCUCUUAAGAACCAUGUGUGGAAUUCAUGAAAAUAUCCUCUCCAAUCCCCGCACCCCCGCGGGGGCAAAUGCACCCCCACUCCAACCCUCAUUUAAAGAGCUCAUUUGUGCCUCCACUUCGUUGUGUCGGAUAUGUGAAUGGAAAUCUUCCCUGAACUUGAAUAGUUCAUAAGAAUUCCGUCACUAAAUCAACUCGAAAACCCUAAUUUUCAAAUAUGAAUAGUUCUAUCAAGGUAGACAAGAUUCAAGCCAUGAAAAAUUACAAGAAAUCCCAGUUUCUUUACAACUUUGUUCUAUACUCCCUCACUACUGUAAUUUCUUGUUCGUUGAUAUGUUACCCUUUCUGGUUCCCCUCCAUGAACUACCUUUUUUCAGUUUCUCUUCAAAAUAUUUUCUCCUUUUUCUUCACUGCCAAGUUUCCUUUCGUGGUUGGAAAUAUAAUCGUCAUCGUCCUCAUCAGAGAAUUUAUACAGGCAGGCUCAAAUUCAUCUCCAUCGACAGAUAUUUAUGACGAAUACAUUUCUCAAAUCCGCCGGAGUUACAGGACACCUGCACGGUCCAAUUAUAUACAAGCAAACAAGAAAAAGGAGGAGAAAAUGGAAACUGAAGAUAAACUGUUCCAUGCUGAAAGUAAAAAAGUGAAAAUAUGCAGUGGGGCUGUCUUGAAAAGGGAAAAACAAGAGAAAGAAGAGAAGAAAAUUCUACCAACUGGGGAGUUGAAUAAAAGAGUGGAAUCUAAACAGGCAGGCUCAAUUCAUCUCCAGAGACACAGAUAUACGACGAAUACCUUGCACCAGCAAACAAGAAAGUACAGAAGGAUAAAAUGGAAAAUACUGAAGAUAAAAUUUUACAUGCAGAAAAGAAGAAAGAAUUGAAAAUGUCCAGUGGGAUCUUGAAAAGGGAAAAGAGAGAUGAAGAAGAGGAGAAUUAUAUUCCUACUGAGGAAUUGAAUCGAAGAGUGGAGGCUUAUAUUGCAAGAGUGAACAGAAAGAGAUUGCUUGAGGCUAAAUCAUUAGUGCGGGGUCAAUAGAGCGUGAGAAAUGGGGAUUUAGUGUAGGAAUUGUAAUGGAAAAAUUAAUUAGGGUUUCUUGAUAUAAAUUGUACUUGAAUCAACUUUUAAGUUAAUUUUACGAGAUUGAUGCGCUAAAGAAACAAUA